UACAGAGGUCUCAAGCGUUGUUCGGAUUCAUUGGGCGUAAAGGGUGCGUAGGCGGCGCGGUAAGUCGGGUGUGAAAUCUCGGAGCUUAACUCCGAAACUGCAUUCGAUACUGCCGUGCUUGAGGACUGGAGAGGAGACUGGAAUUUACGGUGUAGCGGUGAAAUGCGUAGAUAUCGUAGGGAAGACCAGUGGCGAAGGCGGGUCUCGUGGACAGUUCCUGACGCUGAGGCACGAAGGUCAGGGGAGCAAACAGG
rnacentral:rRNA from 1 species